rnacentral:rRNA from 1 species
GAUGAACGCUGGCGGCGUGCUUAACACAUGCAAGUCGAACGAAGCGUUUAAGACAGAAGCCUUCGGGUGGAAGAUUUAAAUGACUGAGUGGCGGACGGGUGAGUAACGCGUGGGCAACCUGCCUCAUACAAGGGGAUAACACCCAGAAAUGGGUGCUAAUACCGUAUAAGCUUACAGAAUCGCAUGAUUCAGUAAGAAAAACUCCGGUGGUAUGAGAUGGGCCCGCGUCUGAUUAGCUAGUUGGUAGGGUAAUGGCCUACCAAGGCGACGAUCAGUAGCCGACCUGAGAGGGUGACCGGCCACAUUGGGACUGAGACACGGCCCAAACUCCUACGGGAGGCAGCAGUGGGGAAUUUUCGGCAAUGGGGGGAACCCUGACCGAGCAACGCCGCGUGAAGGAAGAAGGUUUUCGGAUUGUAAACUUCUGUUAUAAAGGAAGAACGGUACAUGGAGGGAAUGCCAUGUAAGUGACGGUACUUUAUGAGAAAGCCACGGCUAACUACGUGCCAGCCGCCGCUGUAACAC